UCUUUGCUUUUUUUUUUUUUUAUGUUCAAGUUUUCUAUUCUUUUUUAUCAAUGAUCUAGAAGUUCAUCAUGGGGUAAAGAAAGUGUGGAUUUUUAUGUUGCUUGGCAUUCCAGUACUUCAAAAACUAGCUAAAUUGGUGGGGAUCCAUUCCUGGAUUUGAGGUCUUAGGUAGAUUCUGAAUUGUGUUUAUUAUGCAGCUUUCCAGAUGCAAUA
rnacentral:misc_RNA from 1 species